rnacentral:tmRNA from 1 species
CCUGGCUUCGACGUGGGUUACAAAACCUGCGGUGCAUGCCGAGUGGCAGAAACUCGCUAAUCAGCUGCAAAACUUAUAGUUGCCAACGAAGACAACUACGCACUCGCUGCCUAAACCCCAGUAGGGUGCCCUCUCACUGCUGUUUGCCUGUGGGCGCAGGUUCGAGGGGUCAUCGCACACAGGCUCGUGAUGAAACACGUCCGGGGUGGAUUCACUAAAACUUAACGGAAUCGCUAUCGGUCUUCCCUGCCCGUCGGGUAGCCGCUAGUUAAACUCAAAGACUGGGCUAAGCAUGUAGAGCCAAUGGCGGAGAGCUUGCGGACGCGGGUUCGAUUA